GUGGCAAGCGUUAUCCGGAUUUAUUGGGCGUAAAGGGAACGCAGGCGGUUCAAUAAGUCUGAUGUGAAAGCCUUCGGCUCAAACGGAGAAUUGCAUCAGAAACUGUUGAACUUGAGUGCAGAAGAGGAGAGUGGAACUCCAUGUGUAGCGGUGGAAUGCGUAGAUAUAUGGAAGAACACCAGUGGCGAAGGCGGCUCUCUGGUCUGUAACUGACGCUGAGGCUCGAAAGCAUGGGUAGCGAACA
rnacentral:rRNA from 1 species